rnacentral:lncRNA from 1 species
GGUCGGGGCUCACAUUUGGAGUGGGAAAGGGAACUGUGUGCUGAAGGGCAGUGCCCACAUGCAGUAUAACCUACUUGUCCUUUCUUGCUCCUCUCAGAGAAGUUCCCCAAGGCGGGGAGGGCCUGUCCCUCUCCCCCAGCACAGAUCUGCAAUGCACUUCCAGUUCCAGAAGGACUCCGUAACUGGGAGGUACAUCAGACAGGUGGAGCUUGUCUACCAUGACCUUCAUUGAACUCAUUUACUUCUGAAUCAAUCACCAUAUCCAAAUAAAUGAGAGGGUAUUUCGAUGGACGUGAAGAGGGUUUGUUCCCUUGAUAGCCAAGACCCCAGGAAAAGUGAUUGGAUGGGAACUUUGGAAGUUUUCCCUCAGCUGAACAGAAGCAUAAAAGCAGGUAUCAGAGACAGCUGUAGAAUCCCUCACUGUGUAUUUCACAAUAUUAAAUCU